rfam:Aedes aegypti strain Liverpool supercont1.81 genomic scaffold, whole genome shotgun sequence.
UGUUCUGUAGCUUAGUUGGUUAAAGUGCCGGUCUAGCGUACACGGAGUCGUGAAUUCGAGUCUCACUAAAACGC